rnacentral:tRNA from 1 species
UCUAUAAUAGUUUAAAAAAAAACAUUAAUUUUGUAAAUUAAAAAUAUAAAUUAUUUUUUUAUAGAA